CGAAAGCAGGGUAAAUGGCAGAUGACAUAGCAUUUGAACCAAUUUUUGGGAAAAUUGACUCUAUGCUUCAGUUUGGCUGGACACAGUACCUGAUUCACGUUAGGGAUGGAGAUGUUGCCAGAGUUCAAAAAAUGAUUUCAGAGGGAUACACUCCCAAUGACUGCAACAGUUAUGGACUAAGUUCUUUGACGGUGUCAGUGAUCAGUAAGAAUGAGCGUAUGGUCGAGACAAUUUUGAACACAGAAAGCUUCACUUAUGAUAAAUUAGCUAGUGAAUUGAUAGACCCUGUAAGUUUGGCAAGCUUGCUAGGGCUGCAAGGAAUUUUACUAAUAUUACUGGAUAAAUUUCCCAACCUCGUGAACAAUAAGAACACGACCUGUGGAUACACACCGAUUUUUUUUGCUGCAAUCAAGAGACACUACAGAAUUGUUCAAAUCCUGAUAGCAAGAGGUGCUGACUUGAGCAUUCGAAACUCAGCCGACCAUACACUUCUGGAAGUUGCGAUGAUGAUGAACGACGCAGAGUUGGUAGCUUUCCUUAGUGCUAAGUCAGGGGUCGAUGACUUACGGAAGCCGAGGUGCCACCCCCGUUUGUACACUCCCCCCCGUUGUCUAAAGCAGGUCGGAGUGUCACCCCCGUCACCAGCGAAGCCAUAUUCAAAACCUGAUAAGAGGAAAUUAGCCAGCCCAGUAUCCAAACCAAAAACUCGACCACUCCGUCAGAUAAAUAAUGACCUUCCAAACAGGAACAUCACUCUUCAAAACAACUCUUUCGAAUCGAAUGACCAAUUUUCAGACACCUCCUUUUCCGACUCUUCAAGUUUUUUCUCCAACGAUUUCGUACCACUUGCAAAAUCUUCUCUUGCCUUCAGAAGCUCUUCUUCAUCAAACACUCCCUCCUUCAAUUUCAACAAUUCCAGUUUCUGUGCCUCUCCUAAGCUCCAAUCUGCAAUGCUGUCUUCACCAUAUUCUUUCCAAAAGAUGUCCUGUCCAUCACCCAGACUUCCAUUACCAAACUGCACCUAUUAUCACUAUUCAGUAUCCGACGUUCCAACGCUAACAACAUCUCCAGCAACUCCAUACUUGCCGUCACCAGACUGCUCCUAUUUUCACUUUUCAUCGCCGACACCUCUCCAGAACCGUACGCUUCCACAUACUCCACUUACCACUCCUAAAAAUUUCUUGCAUCCCACUAAGAGCUUCGCACCCUCCCAUACACCGGUCUCAACCCCAGAAUUUGGUCAAUCCUUGAUGGUUCCUCAACUCCUCAACACACCUCAGACACACCAUCGUAAAUUUUUACACCCUCAAAAGCUGACGUUUCAACAGCCCAGGUCUUUUAUCGCCUCAUACGUGACACCGCUACGAACUAGGAACAAGAAGGUGCCAUUGAGGACUAAACUGCUGGAUAAACUGUACAGAAGAGAGAAGUUGAUAAAAAAUGAUGAGAAUCAAAAUUUGGAACCAAUAUGUGCUAAUGAUCUCAAGAGUGUUCUGGAGUAUUUGGGACUUGAAAAAUACUAUAAACUUUUUGAGUUGAAUCAGGUAGAGCCAGAAAUUUUGAGUACUUUCACUGACGUCGAUUUGGAAACGAUGGGAAUUGAGGACAAGAAGACUCGCAAGACUAUUUUGAAAAAAAUCAGGAAAGGUUUGCUUGAUGCAAACACAUGACUUUUUCAGUGUUUCGGUUCUAGCUUUUAAGAUUUUCUUCAAGUUUUAGGCGUUAAUCAGUUAAUUUUUGCACAUAUUUUCUACUUGAAAUGCAUGACUGCUUAAGAUUAACAUCUUCUGUAUUGGCUUUUUAGAUUUACUUUUAGUUUAGGGCUUUUAUUAGUUUAAUUACCGCACGUUUUCUCAAGUUUAAAUUCAUGACUGCUUAGCAUUAACAUCUACAUACUUUUCAGUUGAGUUUUAGCAUUUUAGACUUACUUUGAAUUUAGAUUUUUUAAGUUUUAAUACCAAAUGCAUUUUCUUUAUAAAAAUUUGGACCAGUUAUAUUUGAUGGACAUUAAGAACUGAUUUUUGACAACUUUUAUCUAUUAAUAUAACUUUGAAUGCCACAGUGCGUACUCAUUUGACAGUUUUAAAAGUUUCUGCAUUUAUCUUUACUUUUUCAAAAUUGCAACACUAUAAGACAAAAGCUUGAUUAUUUUCACCAACUCGCAGAUUUACUGUUUCUUAGUUACAAGUUCACAACUAUUCAUUAUUUUUAGAUUUUGUAUUUUUAAUGUUUUAUAUGAUUAUCAUUAUUAACAUCAAUAUGCCAUCAAUAAAGUUCAUUCAAUUUAGAUCCCUACUUAAGUUACAUUUUUUUAUUCAAUUAAAAAUUCCUGAGGGUAGAGUCAUUCUUUGCAGACAGGAUAGAGAAAGGAAUUAAACGCAUAUGUUCUUGGAACCACUGCUUCGAUUAUAAAAAACUGAGGCAUUUUAGAGAGAGUACUUUAACGUGAGUCAUUUUUCAAAAUUUCAGAAAGCUGACUCAUGAGCAGCUGCCUCAAGUUGGUUGAAAGUUACAAAUUUUAAAUAACAAUCUUCUCUUACAUUAAUUUUUCUACCCUCCAGUAUCUACAAUAGGCCAAUUAAAACCUUUCUAUUGUUUUUCUAGAAUUUUUAAUUCUGGCGCUUAGGUCUUUUUGAGAAUGACCGAUUUAAUUUGGUACCAAAUCUUGGGGCAUAUUGAGUCUUUCUUUGCAAUUUUUGCUAAAAUUCGUAGUCCAUUUAUACCUAAGAAAUUUCAACAAAUUAUUCUCCCAUAAAUCCAGAAUUUUUGUGCUUUUUAGCUACAUAUUUCUGAACAUAUCUCAUGGGAUGCAGCGUUAUUCUACAGUUUUUUGAACCAGUAGGUAAAUAUUUUUAAGGUUAUUCUUCCAAUUAAUUUGAAAGAUUCAAAGUUGAUUCACUUUCUAGUUAUGUUUUCUUCAGUGCGACAAUACUUUUCUGAUACACUUGCAGUCAGUAAGCAGGAAGAUGAGUAGAAAUAGAGACUUACCGAUUUGCUCAGACAGCUUGGUUUGACACUUCCUGGUUCUCUUUCUCUUUGUCCAACAGUCUAUAAAUUUUAGCGAUCAAGUCAGGUUUCUUAUCUUUUGCUUGGACGAUGACUCCGUUCUUGCGCAGGUAAUACUGCAGAGUGGGAAUGUUCACCUGUCCCAGAAGUCCUCUCUGCGCGUGAUCUUUCAUAUCGAUGCUGUCAUUGACAGCAGCUUUUUUUGGUUUUUUCUCUGCCUGUUGGAUACAACAAGAAGACAGACUUUCAACACAUGGACAGUGCCGAUACGAAGAAACAUAUUUUAAUAGAUCAAUACGCAGGGUGAGAAAUGAAGUAUCGUCACAUGUGAAAGACCAUUCAGAAAAUGGGCGCGUGUCCAUUUGGAGCUGACAAGAUUGUGUAACUUUGCCAUUCUUUUCUUCUGAUGGAAAUUUGCUUAACUUUGCAAAAAGUUUUGGGUGAAUGACUUCAUAAAAGUUACCGUUACAUUAUAUAAGAGGAAAGUUCGCACUGUCAAGUGAAAAUACGAGGUAUGAUCCAUUAGAAACCGAACUUUGGCCAUUGUGGGCUAACGGAUGAUCGGAUCGACGUUUUCUUGGGUUUAUCUGAUUGCUGAUAAACUGACAAACACAUUGGUUUUUACGGAUUUCAAUUAUCUUAACUAGUUCGGAUUUUACAGCCGUUUGAUUCAGGUGUGUUCAAGUGCGUGUUGCGAUUUUGAGAAAUGCGUGAGCUUCUAGAACAACGGUAUAACAUUAAAUUUUGUUUUAAGUUGGGUAAAACGUUUUCCGAAACUUUUGCACUUUUAAUGAGAGUUUAUAGCAUUUGAGCGGUCCAGCAGCUGUUGGCAGAUGAAAACGCGCUUUUCUUUUUGCGCUUGGGUUAACAACUUGGGAAUCCACUUUGCAGAAACUCUAUACGCAUGUUCAAAUUUUGUGUUAAAAUUCUCUGAACGGACCCAACAGAAAUAUUCAGUUCCUCUGAAAGCUCAUGAAUGGUUACAUGGCCGUCGGUUUGCACUUUUUCGCGAACUUGAAUCUCGUCAGUUGACGUCCUGGGCUUGACUCCAUGAACCUCAUCUUCCACCGAUUUCUGACCGUUUUUAAAUCUCUUAAACCAUUCGUAAAACUGAGUCCGACUUAAACACUUAUCACCAUAAACUCUCGUUAACAGAGCACAAGUUUCGGAAAACGUUUUACCUAACUUAAAACAAAAUUUAAUGUUAUACU
rnacentral:lncRNA from 1 species